UUGAACGCUGGCGGCAGGCCUAACACAUGCAAGUCGAACGGUAACAGGAAACAGCUUGCUGUUUCGCUGACGAGUGGCGGACGGGUGAGUAAUGUCUGGGAAACUGCCUGAUGGAGGGGGAUAACUACUGGAAACGGUAGCUAAUACCGCAUAACGUCGCAAGACCAAAGAGGGGGACCUUCGGGCCUCUUGCCAUCGGAUGUGCCCAGAUGGGAUUAGCUAGUAGGUGGGGUAACGGCUCACCUAGGCGACGAUCCCUAGCUGGUCUGAGAGGAUGACCAGCCACACUGGAACUGAGACACGGUCCAGACUCCUACGGGAGGCAGCAGUGGGGAAUAUUGCACAAUGGGCGCAAGCCUGAUGCAGCCAUGCCGCGUGUAUGAAGAAGGCCUUCGGGUUGUAAAGUACUUUCAGCGGGGAGGAAGGGAGUAAAGUUAAUACCUUUGCUCAUUGACGUUACCCGCAGAAGAAGCACCGGCUAACUCCGUGCCAGCAGCCGCGGUAAUACGGAGGGUACAAGCGUUAAUCGGAAUUACUGGGCGUAAAGCGCACGCAGGCGGUUUGUUAAGUCAGAUGUGAAAUCCCCGGGCUCAACCUGGGAACUGCAUCUGAUACUGGCAAGCUUGAGUCUCGUAGAGGGGGGUAGAAUUCCAGGUGUAGCGGUGAAAUGCGUAGAGAUCUGGAGGAAUACCGGUGGCGAAGGCGGCCCCCUGGACGAAGACUGACGCUCAGGUGCGAAAGCGUGGGGAGCAAACAGGAUUAGAUACCCUGGUAGUCCACGCCGUAAACGAUGUCGACUUGGAGGUUGUGCCCUUGAGGCGUGGCUUCCGGAGCUAACGCGUUAAGUCGACCGCCUGGGGAGUACGGCCGCAAGGUUAAAACUCAAAUGAAUUGACGGGGGCCCGCACAAGCGGUGGAGCAUGUGGUUUAAUUCGAUGCAACGCGAAGAACCUUACCUGGUCUUGACAUCCACGGAAGUUUUCAGAGAUGAGAAUGUGCCUUCGGGAACCGUGAGACAGGUGCUGCAUGGCUGUCGUCAGCUCGUGUUGUGAAAUGUUGGGUUAAGUCCCGCAACGAGCGCAACCCUUAUCCUUUGUUGCCAGCGGUCCGGCCGGGAACUCAAAGGAGACUGCCAGUGAUAAACUGGAGGAAGGUGGGGAUGACGUCAAGUCAUCAUGGCCCUUACGACCAGGGCUACACACGUGCUACAAUGGCGCAUACAAAGAGAAGCGACCUCGCGAGAGCAAGCGGACCUCAUAAAGUGCGUCGUAGUCCGGAUUGGAGUCUGCAACUCGACUCCAUGAAGUCGGAAUCGCUAGUAAUCGUGGAUCAGAAUGCCACGGUGGAUACGUUCCCGGGCCUUGUACACACCGCCCGUCACACCAUGGGAGUGGGUUGCAAAAGAAGUAGGUAGCUUAACCUUCGGGAGGGCGCUUACCACUUUGUGAUUCAUGACUGGGGUG
rnacentral:rRNA from 1 species